rnacentral:rRNA from 1 species
CUGAACCAGCCAAGUAGCGUGAAGGAUGAAGGGUCCUACGGAUUGUAAACUUCUUUUAUACGGGAAUAAAGUAUCCUACGUGUAGGAUUUUGUAUGUACCGUAUGAAUAAGCAUCGGCUAACUCCGUGCCAGCAGCCGCGGUAAUACGGAGGAUCCGAGCGUUAUCCGGAUUUAUUGGGUUUAAAGGGAGCGCAGACGGGAGAUUAAGUCAGUUGUGAAAGUUUGCGG